UUUGGAGUGAUGAAAAAAAUCAUUCGGAUUCCCAAUGAUCAAUUUUCUAUUAUGAUAUUCCAACCAGCUACUUCUGACCUUU